CGAGCCGCUGGCGGCGUGCUUAAACAUGCAAGUCGAACGAUGAAGCCCUUCGGGGUGGAUUAGUGGCGAACGGGUGAGUAACACGUGGGCAAUCUGCCCUUCACUCUGGGACAAGCCCUGGAAACGGGGUCUAAUACCGGAUACGAGACGGGGAGGCAUCUCCUCGUCUGGAAAGCUCCGGCGGUGAAGGAUGAGCCCGCGGCCUAUCAGCUUGUUGGUGGGGUAAUGGCCUACCAAGGCGACGACGGGUAGCCGGCCUGAGAGGGCGACCGGCCACACUGGGACUGAGACACGGCCCAGACUCCUACGGGAGGCAGCAGUGGGGAAUAUUGCACAAUGGGCGAAAGCCUGAUGCAGCGACGCCGCGUGAGGGAUGACGGCCUUCGGGUUGUAAACCUCUUUCAGCAGGGAAGAAGCGAAAGUGACGGUACCUGCAGAAGAAGCGCCGGCUAACUACGUGCCAGCAGCCGCGGUAAUAA
rnacentral:rRNA from 1 species